rnacentral:rRNA from 1 species
GUCGUGAGACAGUUCGGUCCCUAUCCGUCGUGGGCGUAGGAAAUUUGAGAGGAGCUGUCCUUAGUACGAGAGGACCGGGAUGGACAUACCUCUGGUGUACCAGUUGUCGUGCCAACGGCAUAGCUGGGUAGCUAUGUGUGGACGGGAUAAGUGCUGAAAGCAUCUAAGCAUGAAGCCCCCCUCAAGAUGAGAUUUCCCAACUUCGGUUAUAAGAUCCCUCAAAGAUGAUGAGGUUAAUAGGUUCGAGGUGGAAGCAUGGUGACAUGUGGAGCUGACGAAUACUAAUCGAUCGAAGACUUAAUCAAAA